ACGAACGCUGGCGGCGUGCUUAACACAUGCAAGUCGAGCGGAAAGGCCCUUCGGGGUACUCGAGCGGCGAACGGGUGAGUAACACGUGAGUAACCUGCCCCCGACUCUGGGAUAAGCCCGGGAAACUGGGUCUAAUACCGGAUAUGACACCUCCUCGCAUGGGGUGGGUGUGGAAAGUUUUUCGGUUGGGGAUGGACUCGCGGCCUAUCAGCUUGUUGGUGGGGUAAUGGCCUACCAAGGCGACGACGGGUAGCCG
rnacentral:rRNA from 2 species